AAAACUCAAAGGAAUUGACGGGGGCCCGCACAAGCGGUGGAGCAUGUGGUUUAAUUCGACGCAACGCGCAGAACCUUACCAGCCCUUGACAUCCCGGUCGCGGACUCCAGAGACGGAGUUCUUCAGUUCGGCUGGACCGGAGACAGGUGCUGCAUGGCUGUCGUCAGCUCGUGUCGUGAGAUGUUGGGUUAAGUCCCGCAACGAGCGCAACCCCCGUCCUUAGUUGCUACCAUUUAGUUGAGCACUCUAAGGAGACUGCCGGUGAUAAGCCGCGAGGAAGGUGGGGAUGACGUCAAGUCCUCAUGGCCCUUACGGGCUGGGCUACACACGUGCUACAAUGGCGGUGACAAUGGGAAGCGAAGACGCAAGUCCUAGCAAAUCUCAAAAAGCCGUCUCAGUUCGGAUUGGGCUCUGCAACUCGAGCCCAUGAAGUUGGAAUCGCUAGUAAUCGUGGAUCAGCACGCCACGGUGAAUACGUUCCCGGGCCUUGUACACACCGCCCGUCACACCAUGGGAGUUGGUUUU
rnacentral:rRNA from 1 species